AUAGUACCUGAAACCAUGUGCCUACAAACCGUUGGAGCCUCCUUGUGGGGUGACAGCGUGCCUUUUGAAGAAUGAGCCUGCGAGUUAGUGAUACGUGGCGAGGUUAACCCGUGUGGGGAAGCCGUAGCGAAAGCGAGUCUGAAUAGGGCGAUUGAGUCGCGUGUCCUAGACCCGAAGCGGAGUGAUCUACCCAUGGCCAGGUUGAAGCGCGUGUAAGAGCGCGUGGAGGACCGAACCCACUUCAGUUGAAAA
rnacentral:rRNA from 1 species